UACCGGAUAUGAAUUCCCCUCGCAUGGGGGGCGUUGGAAAGCUCCGGCGGUUUGGGAUGGACUCGCGGCCUAUCAGCUUGUUGGUGAGGUAGUGGCUCACCAAGGCUUCGACGGGUAGCCGGCCUGAGAGGGCGACCGGCCACAUUGGGACUGAGAUACGGCCCAAACUCCUACGGGAGGCAGCAGUGGGGAAUAUUGCACAAUGGGCGCAAGCCUGAUGCAGCAACGCCGCGUGCGGGAUGACGGCCUUCGGGUUGUAAACCGCUUUCAGCGCAGACGAAGCGAAAGUG
rnacentral:rRNA from 1 species